rnacentral:rRNA from 1 species
GACGAACGCUGGCGGCGUGCUUAACACAUGCAAGUCGAACGGAAAGGCCCUGCUUUUGUGGGGGGCUCGAGUGGCGAACGGGGGAGUAACACGUGAGUAACCUGCCCUUGACUUUGGGAUAACUUGAGGGAACUGGGGCUAAUACCGGAUAUGAGCUCCUGCUGCAUGGUGGGGGUUGGAAGGUUUCGGCGGUUGGGGAUGGACUCGCGGCUUGUCAGCUUGGUGGUGGGGUAGUGGCUUACCAAGGCUUUGACGGGUAGCCGGCCUGAGAGGGUGACAGGCCACAUUGGGCCUGAGAUCCGGGCGAGACUCCUACGGGAGGCAGUAGUGGGGAAUAUUGCACAUGGGGCGGAAGCCUGAUGCAGGAACGCCGCGUGCUGGAUGACGGCCUUCGGGUUGUAAACCGUUUUCGCGUGUGACGAAGUGUGAGUGAGGGUAAUGGGUAAAGAAGCACCGGCUAACUACGUG